rnacentral:rRNA from 1 species
GACGAACGCUGGCGGCGUGCCUAAUACAUGCAAGUAGAACGCUGAAGGAGGAGCUUGCUUCUCUGGAUGAGUUGCGAACGGGUGAGUAACGCGUAGGUAACCUGCCUGGUAGCGGGGGAUAACUAUUGGAAACGAUAGCUAAUACCGCAUAAGAGUAGAUGUUGCAUGACAUUUGCUUAAAAGGUGCAAUUGCAUCACUACCAGAUGGACCUGCGUUGUAUUAGCUAGUUGGUGGGGUAACGGCUUACCAAGGCGACGAUACAUAGGCGACCUGAGAGGGUGAUCGGCCAAACUGGGACGGAGACAAGGGCAAGAAGGCUAAGGGAGGGAGCAGGAGGGAAACGUCGGAAAUGGACGGAAGUCUGACCGAGCAAAGCCGAGUGAGUGAAGAAGGGUUUCGGAUCGUAAAGCUCUGUUGUAAGAGAAGAACGAGUGUGAGAGUGGAAAGUUCACACUGUGACGGUAUCUUAACAGAAAGGGACGGCUAACUACGUG